rnacentral:rRNA from 1 species
UGGCGACCGGCGCACGGGUGCGCAACGCGUAUGGAACCUGCCCUCUGCAGGGGAAUAGCCCAUGGAAACGUGGAUUAAUGCCCCAUAGUACCGUUGACCGGCAUUGGUCUUCGGUUAAAGCCUUCGGGCGGCAGGGGAUGGCCACGCGUACCAUUAGCUAGUUGGUAAGGUAACGGCUUACCAAGGCCACGAUGGUUAGGGGCCCUGAGAGGGGGAUCCCCCACACUGGUACUGAGACACGGACCAG